ACAGGGAUUGCCCUAGUAACGGCGAGUGAAGCGGCAUCAGCUCAAAUUUGAAAUCUGGCUCUUUUAGAGUCCGAGUUGUAAUUUGCAGAGGGCGCUUUGGCAUAGGCAGCGAUUCAAGUUCCUUGGAACAGGACGUCACAGAGGGUGAGAAUCCCGUACGUGGUCGCCAGCUCUUGCCGUGUAAAGCCCCUUCGACGAGUCGAGUUGUUUGGGAAUGCAGCUCUAAAUGGGAGGUAAAUUUCUUCUAAAGCUAAAUAUUGGCCAGAGACCGAUAGCGCACAAGUAGAGUGAUCGAAAGAUGAAAAGUACUUUGGAAAGAGAGUCAAAAAGCACGUGAAAUUGUUGAAAGGGAAGCGCUUGCAGCCAGACUUGCCUGUAGUUGCUCAUCCGGGCUCUUGCCCGGUGCACUCUUCUAUAGGCAGGCCAGCAUCAGUUUGGGCGGUUGGAUAAAGGUCUCUGUCAUGUACCUCUCUUCGGGGAGGCCUUAUAGGGGAGGCGACAUACAACCAGCCUGGACUGAGGUCCGCGCAUUCGUGCUAGGAUGCUGGCGUAAUGGCUGUAAGCGGCCCGUCUUGAAACACGGACCAAGGAGUCUAACAUCUAUGCGAGUGUUUGGGUGUCAAGCCCGAGCGCGUAAUGAAAGUGAACGGAGGUAGGAACCCUUUUGGGUGCACUAUCGACCGAUCCUGAUGUCUUCGGAAGGAUUUGAGUAAGAGCAUGGCUGUUGGGACCCGAAAGAUGGUGAACUAUGCUUGAAUAGGGUGAAGCCAGAGGAAACUCUGGUGGAGGCUCGCAGCGGUUCUGACGUGCAAAUCGAUCGUCAAAUUUGGGCAUAGGGGCGAAAGACUAAU
rnacentral:rRNA from 1 species